UACGGAGGGUGCGAGCGUUGUCCGGAAUUAUUGGGCGUAAAGCGCGCGCAGGCGGUCUUUUAAGUCUGAUGUGAAAGCCCACGGCUCAACCGUGGAGGGUCAUUGGAAACUGGGAGACUUGAGUGCAGAAGAGAAGAGCGGAAUUCCACGUGUAGCGGUGAAAUGCGUAGAGAUGUGGAGGAACACCAGUGGCGAAGGCGGCUCUUUGGUCUGUAACUGACGCUGAGGCGCGAAAGCGUGGGGAGCGAACAGG
rnacentral:rRNA from 1 species